rnacentral:rRNA from 1 species
ACAAUGGGCGAAAGCCUGAUCCAGCCAUGCCGCGUGUGUGAAGAAGGUCUUCGGAUUGUAAAGCACUUUAAGUUGGGAGGAAGGGUUGUAGAUUAAUACUCUGCAAUUUUGACGUUACCGACAGAAUAAGCACCGGCUAACUCUGUGCCAGCAGCCGCGGUAAUACAGAGGGUGCAAGCGUUAAUCGGAAUUACUGGGCGUAAAGCGCGCGUAGGUGGUUUGUUAAGUUGGAUGUGAAAUCCCCGGGCUCAACCUGGGAACUGCAUCCAAAACUGGCAAGCUAGAGUAUGGUAGAGGGUGGUGGAAUUUCCUGUGUAGCGGUGAAAUGCGUAGAUAUAGGAAGGAACACCAGUGGCGAAGACGACCACCUGGACUGAUACUGACACUGAGGUGCGAAAGCGUGGGGAGCAAACAGGAUUAGAUACCCUGGUAGUCCACGCCGUAAACGAUGUCAACUAGCCGUUGGGAGCCUUGAGCUCUUAGUGGCGCAGCUAACGCAUUAAGUUGACCGCCUGGGGAGUACGGCCGCAAGGUUAAAACUCAAAUGAAUUGACGGGGGCCCGCACAAGCGGUGGAGCAUGUGGUUUAAUUUGAAGCAACGCGAAGAACCUUACCAGGCCUUGACAUCCAAUGAACUUUCCAGAGAUGGAUUGGUGCCUUCGGGAACAUUGAGACAGGUGCUGCAUGGCUGUCGUCAGCUCGUGUCGUGAGAUGUUGGGUUAAGUCCCGUAACGAGCGCAACCCUUGUCCUUAGUUACCAGCACGUUAUGGUGGGCACUCUAAGGAGACUGCCGGUGACAAACCGGAGGAAGGUGGGGAGGAGGUCAAGUCAUCAUGGCCCUUACGGCCUGGGGUACACACGUGCUACAAUGGUCGGUACAAAGGGUUGCCAAGCCGCGAGGUGGAGCUAAUCCCAUAAAACCGAUCGUAGUCCGGAUCGCAGUCUGCAACUCGACUGCGUGAAGUCGGAAUCGCUAGUAAUCGCGAAUCAGAAUGUCGCGGUGAAUACGUUCCCGGGCCUUGUACACACCGCCCGUCACACCAUGGGAGUGGGUUGCACCAGAAGUAGCUAGUCUAACCUUCGGGGGACGGUACCACGCUUAUCUACGAGU